GGGGUUAUGCUAUGAAGACAUAAAUUGAUCAUAAAAUUAAACACAAAAUAUAUAUGAACAAAUAAAAUUUUCCGAAAGUGGAUUUCACUAACAAAUUCUCCUUUCAAAAUCUUAUCCAUCAACGUAUAACUAUUCAAUUUUGUGAUCGAUUUUCAUUUUCUUAAGCUUACUCUUGCAAAUAGGUUGCUUUGCUCUAAUGUAAGAACAAGGUUCAGUAAUGUUAGAUUUUCUUGUUGAUAAGCUUAGAGUUGUUGACUAUAGAGUUCAUGGCAUUUGAUAGAGAGUUAAUGAGUAUUUUAAUGGAAUAAGAUUUGGACCUAAGGCUCGGAUAAAAUGAAAUUACAAGAGGUACAAUUUUCAUUUCAAUUCAGUAAUGAAAAAUAGUGCAUCUUAUCUUAUUAUUUUCAGAUUUGGAUGUCUAAUCUAACUAGGUGGGCAAAGUUUAGAUUCAAAAUAGGGCUCUCAGCAAAUUCAUAAGUAAAAAUUCAGAGUGGCCAAUCUGAAGGGCCCAACCCAAAACGAGGAAUUCGAGAUCCAGAACAAACUCUUCUUCUCUUAGUCAGCCAUAUCAGAACUCGAGAGCGGCGACUCAAGCUCAGCUAGCGAUCAUCAGCGAAGACUCGAACAGCCAUGUCCGCCGAAACCUACAUGCAAUCAAGUAAAUCUCAGUGAUAUGAAGACGUAAAAAAAGGACUCAAAUAAGUUCAACCUUUGUGAUUGGUAUUACUUGGGACGGAAAGACUAGCAAAGUUUCCACUAUUUUCUUUAAAACAAAAUGAAGCAUCAUAUGCAAGUGGGCAGAUAAAAGUAUUUUUCUUCAACCAUUGGAAUUUUUUCUACUUUUUCUAGAUGAAACUAAGCUUUUAGUUAAAUUUUUUUUUUUUGGUUUGAAAAUAUGAAAAUCAAUGCUUUUAGCAUUUUAGUUUAAUAUCUAUUAAAAUGCUAGUCUACAUUACAAUCCUAUAUUCAAUCUUUAUGUAAAUGAAGAUAUUAGGUAUGUGUUGUGAUUCACACUUGUGCACAUAAACAAAAGCACAAUUACUGUUGGGUUGUAGUUGCCAACUUGAAGUUGCAUGCCGUGGGGUUCUGGAAGAAGCUUAAGAUUUGCUAAAGGUAUGUGUGUUAACUUAGUUGGGAUAUGCUGCGUAGUUAUAAACUUUUUUCUUAAUCCUUAUUUUCUUGAUGUACUUCAUUAUUGAGUUAUUAAAAUUUUCUUUUUUUUUAAAAAAAAAAAGGAACACAAUUACACGCACAUAUCAAAGAGAAAAAUAAACAGAGAUUUUGAGAGAGAAAAAUAUUCCAUUGCAUCAAUUGAAAAGUACAAACUCACUUUCAUCUCUUUGCAAGCCAACCCUUCUCUGUUACUCUCUCCCUAGAAUUCCCACAAAUUUUUCAAUUUUCAAUCAACCCUAGAAAUCUUAAUUCCAAUACAAUUAAAAAAUUUCACAAAUUGGAUUCUUGGUGAAUUCUGAAUUUAAAGAGAUUGUAUUAAAAGAAAAACUAAAAGAUUGUAUGGGCACUGUAGAAUA